rnacentral:rRNA from 1 species
CCUACGGGUGGCAGCAGUAGGGAAUAUUGCUCAAUGGGGGAAACCCUGAAGCAGCAACGCCGCGUGGAGGAUGAAGGUUUUCGGAUUGUAAACUCCUUUUGAUAGAGAAGAGAAUGACGGUAUCUAACGAAUAAGCACCGGCUAACUCCGGGCCAGCAGCCGCGGUAAUACGGAGGGUGCAAGCGUUACGCGGAAUCCCUGGGCGUACAGAGCGCGUAGGCGGGAUAGCAAGUCAGAUGUGAAAUCCUAUGGCUUAACCAUAGAACUGCAUUUGAAACUGUUAUUCUAGAGUAUGGGAGAGGUAGGUGGAAUUCUUGGUGUAGGGGUCCAAUCCGUAGAGAUCAUGAGGAAUACUCAUUGCGAAGGCGACCUGCUAGAACAUAACUGACGCUGAUGCUCGAACGCGUGGGGAGCAAACAGGAUUAGAUACCCGGGUAGUC